GCGAAGCUCGGAAUGCCGGUCCGGUACUGCAGCUGCCCAGCGAUGGGAUGUGCUCGUCUGGGCCGGUGUCCCUUCUCUAUUCCACCCCACUGUGAACCAAGCGUGCGAGCAGAAGAGAGAUCGGAAGCCCGCAUGCUCACUUUAACAUACCCCCGAUUAAGUAUCUGAAUGUACCUUGCGUUAACUCGCACAAAUA
rnacentral:misc_RNA from 1 species